rnacentral:lncRNA from 1 species
UUGUAUACCACUCAAUUAUCCAAUUUUCCAUUCCCCCCAAUUUGGGGUGUAUCCAAUGGAAUGGAAUUUAAUAUUUUUUAUAUUACCUUUUUACCCUUAUUCUAUUUGUCUCUUCCUCUUCUCAAUUACUCAUAUUUCACGCAAUAAGGGUUUAUUUCUUCACAACACUUUCUACUUCACCUCUUCCUCUGUGUUCUUCUGACUGCUCAUUCCUUCACGUUUUCCCAACAAGGUAUGCCAUUUUUAUUGAUCAUUGUUUGCCCAGAAAUUGAAAAUAAAUUGUUCUGAUUAAUACCCAAAUUUCUGAUGCA